GACGUAGGGGGCGAGCGUUGUCCGGAUUUAUUGGGCGUAAAGAGCUCGUAGGCGGCUCAGAAAGUCGGGUGUGAAACCUCCAGGCUCAACCUGGAGACGCCACCUGAUACUGCUGUGGCUAGAGUCCGGUAGGGGAGCACGGAAUACCCGGUGUAGCGGUGAAAUGCUUAGAUAUCGGGUGGAACACCAGUGGCGAAGGCGGUGCUCUGGGCCGGAACUGACGCUGAGGAGCGAAAGCGUGGGUAGCAAACAGG
rnacentral:misc_RNA from 1 species